rnacentral:rRNA from 1 species
GACAGGGGAUGCAAGCGUUACUCGGAAUUACUGGGCGUAAAGCGUCUGCAGGUGUUCUACAACGUCUGGUGUAAAAGCACGGAGCUCAACUCCGUGUACGUGCUGGAAACGAGUAGAAUCGAGUCAUGGAGAGGCAUCUGGAAUGUCGUGUGUAGGGGUAAAAUCCGUAGAUCCACGAUGGAACGCCAAAAGCGAAGGCAGGAUGCUGGCCAUGUACUGACACUCAGAGACGAAAGCGUGGGGAGCAAAGGGG